rnacentral:rRNA from 1 species
UCCGCUGGCGGCAUGCCUAACACAUGCAAGUCGCACGAGAAAGCCCGGUUCGCCGGGCGAGUAAAGUGGCGCACGGGUGAGUAACGCGUGGAUAAUCUACCUCGUUCUGGGGGAUAACCCAUCGAAAGGUGGGCUAAUACCGCAUAAUCCGGCUGAUUCAUGGAUUGGUCGGCAAAGGUGGCCUCUUGAUCAAAGCUACCGGGAAGAGAUGAGUCCGCGUCCCAUUAGCUUGUUGGUAGGGUAACGGCCUACCAAGGCGACGAUGGGUAGCUGGUCUGAGAGGACGAUCAGCCACACUGGAACUGGUACACGGUCCAGACUCCUACGGGAGGCAGCAGUGAGGAAUAUUGCGCAAUGGGGGAAACCCUGACGCAGCGAUGCCGCGUGGGUGAAGAAGGCCUUCGGGUCGUAAAGCCCUGUCAAGUGGGAAGAAUAGCCUGGGGACGAAUAAUCCUCAGGUCUGACGGUACCACUGAAGGAAGCACCGGCUAACUCCGUGCCAGCAGCCGCGGUAAGACGGAGGGUGCAAGCGUUAUUCGGAAUUAUUGGGCGUAAGAGCGUGUAGGCGGCCGGUCAAGCCAAAUGUGAAGCCCAGGGCUUACCCUUGAAAGGCAUUUGGAACUGGUUGGCUUGAUUUCGGAAAAGGAAAUGAAUUCCGGGUUUAA